UUCACCGGUAUAUCGAAUGCAGUGCGCUAUGGUACCGACAAAACACUGCUGAAGAUGGGUUUUAUAGCUAUCCGCUUCGGAGCAAGUGGAGCGUUUGUUGCUAAUCCAGAUUGUAUGGUGGCAAACCUAUUGAGCUACAUGAAACGUAUGUGUAAUGAACAUGACCCGAAGGUGUUCUUGGAUUUAGCAGACGAGGACGGAAUGCUGAUUAAUUUGAAUGAUUACCAUCCAAAGAAGCGAGCAUCUAGUAUACUGUCAACGAAAACGAUGUACAUUCCAAUAAAACUAGAACGUUAUGCCGAUGGUUCAUUAAAACCAUAUGUUCCACUUGUUCCAGAUAUGAAUCAAGAGAAUCCAGAUUUUAUGAGACGACUUGCAGUGCAAUAUGAACGCCGGACUGGGAAAACUAUUCGUGGCUACGGACGACUUCAAUCCCUCCCGGAGGACGCCAAGCUUGGGAAAAACGUGAACACACCACCUACAAAGCGUAACACCUCCCAAGGAAAUAAAGGAACGAAGGGUACUAAUAGAGCAGGCAAAUCACGAUAGAUGCACUGGUCGUAGUAUGAGCACCGUUGAAUUUUCCGAAUAAUUCACCAUACAACAGUAUUAACCUACACUUCUAUAGCAGUGUGUCUUGGUAUUUUAGAGCAUAGGGGUAUUGGAAAAUGGACCAAUUGGGAUAUAGGGGUCGCUAAGAACCAUGAAAGCGUCAAUGAGAGCCAACUGGAUGGCAGCUUUGGUAUGACUGAUUUUUGAUUCCCUAUAAAUUUUUGAAUUCAGUACAUUUCCGACUCAGUCUUAAAAAUUUGCACCUUUUUUCGAUUGGGGGUGCUGGUGGCGUAGGCACCCACCACAACCCACUGGAAAUGGGCCUGUCUGUCUGACCGUGAGACACCUGAGCUGAACUCUGGGAAUAACCAUUGCCAACUAAGUCUUAGCUGAUGGUUAAUCCCAUAAAGUGUUGCAGUGUUUUGCAAGGCUUUGUUUCCAUACAAUCGCUACACGCCAACUGCUUCUGGUGAUGCUGAUUGGUCGGUCGAAUCGGAGAGCCUUCCCGAUUGCGUCGAGGACUGCUACGCACUCGAUGGCACUGAAAACGCUGUAGCGAUUUUAAGGAAACUGGGCUUAGAAAUCCGAAAAAAAAACUGACCAUUGUCGGAGCUAAUCAAGAUUAGUGUUGUUGAACUAAACUAAUAGAACAUUGUAAUAAAGUGUUAGUGUACUUUGUAUAUGA